AUGAAAGGAGAGGCAGCUGCUGCGGAGGAGCGACCAGGGACGACUUGCCGCGCCCCGGACUCCGCCGUGGAGCUCCAGGAGCUGAGGCGGGAGCGCGCGCGGCGCUUCACCGUGCUGCCGCUGGACCUCACCGACGAGAGCAUCAUAGAGAUUGGAGCAACCUUGGAAACAGGGAAGGGUUGCUCGUUGGUUGCAGAUAUGAGCGCUAGGGUUGGCUCGAUAGACAUUGGUUUGGAAGGCUGGCAUUCGUACAGAGCUUCUAAAACUGCACCGAAUCAAUUGACAAAGACUGCAUCAGUCGAGUUGGGCAAGAGGGACAACAUCGCCUGCAUUUUGCUACAUCCAGGAACAGUUGACACCGACCUCUCACGGCCAUUCCAAUGA
rnacentral:rRNA from 1 species